rnacentral:rRNA from 1 species
UAGAUGCGAGAGUAGAGCAUAUCAAUAAGCGGAGGAAAAGAAACUAACAAGGAUUCCCUUAGUAACGGCGAGUGAAGCGGGAAGAGCUCAAAUUUGAAAUCUUCAAGGUUUUACCUUGACGAAUUGUAGUUUAAAGAAGUGUUUUCUGUUGGAGUUUUGGUAAAAGUUCUUUGGAAUAGGACAUCAUAGAGGGUGAGAAUCCCGUAUUUGACCAUUAUUUCCAGCUGUGUGAUACACUUUCAAAGAGUCGGAUUGUUUGGGAAUGCAGUCCAAAAUGGGUGGUAAAUUUCAUCUAAAGCUAAAUAUUGGCGAGAGACCGAUAGCGAACAAGUACCGUGAGGGAAAGAUGAAAAGAACUUUGAAAAGAGAGUUAAACAGUACGUGAAAUUGUCAAAAGGGAAGCGUUUGACACCAGUGUUGUUUUCUCGAAAAUCAAUUAAAAAUGAUGGGAUUUUGUGUUGUAUUGACUUUAUCAGCUUUCUGCACUUUUUUCUUAUCUUUUUUAAUGCACUUUUCGUUUAACAAGUCAACAUCAAUUUCUUUUGUUGUAAAAGAGUCAUUGGAAGGUGGCUUUUUCUUCGGAAAAAGUGUUUAUAGCCUUUGGCUUCUGCAAUCGGAGAGAUUGAGGUCUGCAGCGUAGAUCCUUCGGGGUUAGAUACAUUUGUGCUAAGCUAUAGUUCUUUAUAGACAACUUGUUGACUAUAAUCAAUCCUGUAACUUACUCGCUUAUGCUAUUUUACCUACGCUUAGGAUGUUGACACACGCGCGUGCUCG